rnacentral:rRNA from 1 species
GACGAACGCUGGCGGCGUGCCUAAUACAUGCAAGUUGAGCGAUGAAGAUUGGUGCUUGCACCAAUUUGAAGAGCAGCGAACGGGUGAGUAACGCGUGGGGAAUCUGCCUUUGAGCGGGGGACAACAUUUGGAAACGAAUGCUAAUACCGCAUAACAACUUUAAACAUAAGUUUUAAGUUUGAAAGAUGCAAUUGCAUCACUCAAAGAUGAUCCCGCGUUGUAUUAGCUAGUUGGUGAGGUAAAGGCUCACCAAGGCGAUGAUACAUAGCCGACCUGAGAGGGUGAUCGGCCACAUUGGGACUGAGACACGGCCCAAACUCCUACGGGAGGCAGCAGUAGGGAAUCUUCGGCAAUGGACGAAAGUCUGACCGAGCAACGCCGCGUGAGUGAAGAAGGUUUUCGGAUCGUAAAACUCUGUUGGUAGAGAAGAACGUUGGUGAGAGUGGAAAGCUCAUCAAGUGACGGUAACUACCCAGAAAGGGACGGCUAACUACGU